GCCUCUAUGGAUCAGUUGGAGAUCACCCCGUAACCAUGUUGUCUGGACAAGAAUAUCUUAUGGGGAGACGUGGGUUCGAAUCCCACCAGAGGCA